AUCAUAUAAGAAAAGUCUACCAUUUGCUCAAUCCUAAGGCCUGCCACAUCAGCAUCUGCUCCCUCAAAAAUCCACAUCAACUUCGGCAGUUACACUUCUCAAAAUUCUCACGUUGCACUUACUAACUCUCUUUCUCAUCCAAAACGGUUUCUCCUCUUCUUUCAAAACCGGCACAUUCUCUUCACUCACCAUUCUCUUCAAUGCACGACUGUUUGUCUUCCCAUUUCCAAUCUUCCUCUCCAAUCUUCUCCUUCUGUAGCGGUUUCUUGAUUUUGAUUUUGGAUUAUCAAAUUCCCAUUUUAUUAUUCACAUGAAACAAAUUUUCAGCUUCUUCGUUUAGGGUUUUGUUUUCCUAUAGAAUUGAAAUUUAUUCUUUCACUAAUUAUAGAAUUGAAAUUUAUAUUGAUUUGUUAUUUUUGUUAUUUUUCUAUGGGUGAUGGAGCAGAGAAAACAAUGAAGAAGGUGAAAUUGUCCAAGCUCUUACCAUUCUUGAUGGGACAAUGGUUUCUGAUGCGUGUAGACGAAUGGCGGCUCGCCGUGUUGAUAUUAUUUUGUUGACUGAUUCCAGUGCUUUGCUUUUUUGGAUUCUUACUGAUAAGAAGCAGAAGAGGAUGAUUGUGAGUUAAAGGGAAGUGAAUUAGAGGUUGAAUGACCUGAUAGAACUACUCACUGCGGAGUUUUGGAGUUCACAAGUGACGAAGGGAUUGUGUUCUUACCGAAUUGGAUGAUGGAAGAUAUGCUCUUAAAGGAUGGAGACAUUAUAUCUCUGAAAAACACAAGUCUAUACAAAGGAAAGUUUGUGAAGUUGCAGCCUCACACCAAAGAUUUUCUAGAUAUCUCUAAUCCAAAAGCCAUGUAUGAAUUGAAGCAACCUGCAAGUCGAUGUCUAAGUUAGUGUCGUAUCGUAUCAAUUUGUCAGUGUGUGUGUCAUGUUUCCGCUAUCUGUGUUUCAUAGGUGUGGUGAUGUUGGCUCACACGGAAGGCGGAAGAUUCGUCGGCGGUGGUUUUGAUGCAAGUUUGGAAAAGGUUGUUGAUUUCAUGAAAUGAUGAAACUUGACAUGCACGCAAUUUGAUUUUUGUGUUAGUACAUUCUAUAGCAUUGUUACGGCCAAAAUCUGGAUUUAAAAAGUCGAUUAAAGGUGGAUGAAGCAACCAACAAAUUUGACGAGCGUGCUCCUCCUCUUCUCUCCUCCAUUCUUCCUCUUCUUCACAGGUUUCCAACUCUCUCCUUUCCUCCUUAUGCUUCAGCUCUCUACAUUUCAUAUCUUUCUCCCUCAAAUUUCUUAUGUAUCUCCAUCUGAACCUAAUUAUCUUUCCAUCAAAACCGUGAGAUUGCGUUUGAGAAGGCGGAUCUGAAGUGUGAAUCGACGAUGACUUUAUGGUUCUGGAAAAGGGAACCGAAAGCAAAAAUGAUGUGCAAAUCAAUUUCAGUGGUGCGGCAGUAGGACUGAGUGAGACGCGGUGGUUUCCGACGCAGGUAAACUAUGAAUUUCUCAAUUUCUUACCCUUGUGUUUUUCUCAUUCUUAUCCAAUGGUAGAUUAAUGGUGGCCGCCAGUUUGCGGCAGCGACUUUGGUGGUGUCGGGUUCGACAUGAUUGAUGUGUGCUUUUUUAAUUUUCUGCAAACUUCAGUUUGUAGUUUCUUAUUAAAUGUUUAAAUUGGAGAAUAGUUUUAAUAACAAGGUUUGUAUUUAUGCAUAUUUUGGAGAGUUGUCAGCGUAAACCUCACACAAUUCAAUUUGGCAUCCUUGAAUAAACGCGUGUCCCGUGCGAAUACAAACAACUUGGGUAGCUACGAAAAUGAAGGUUUUGUUGAGGUUGUUGCCGCCAUCCGAUUCUUGAGAAUCCAAAUUGAUUCCGGGAACAGUGAAGGUGGGAGGUUUAUGGAAAUAUAUGCUCCUAUUGCAAAGGACCUCGCUUCGCAUCAAGAGAUGUAGCUUCAAGAUCAAUGACUAUGGAGAUUCGGGAAGGUCGUGGUGUAGGUGUCCCUGCUAAAUGCUAAUGCAAUGGAUUACACGUCUGGCACGCCCUACAGUUCCUUAGACGAUUAUUCGUGUCAUAUUUCAAGCAAUCCAUACAUGAUCAGUUACCAAAUUCAAUGUGCAGCAACACUUCCAUCCGUGUCAUAUUUUACUCAAUUGAUGCUUUAUUUUGGAUUCCUUUCUUAAGUUUUAUUUAGAAUAACAUGUGAUUUUAUUCAAAGGGUUGAAAAUGUUAAAAAUGCAUUUUCUGUGUUGUAGAUCAUGUUAUGUCGGUGAUGCAGCUGGAAGAGAAACAGAUCAUAGUGAUGCUGAUAUUAGAUUUCAAGUUUAGAUUUUACUACUAUCAAUGUUAUUUUGUGCUAUUAGCUUGGAACUUAUUUGUGGACUUUCAAAAUUUGCUUGCUUGCCUUAUUGAAACCGUGUAUGAUAUAUGCUUGAAACAAGUACCAGAUGUAACUUAAAUUCAGCUGGAGGAAAAUUCAAUAUAGUUGUUAUAGCUACACGUGAACCUGAUGCUUGCUUCAGCAAACAACAGUCUGUAAAUUAUGCAAUCUUGAAUGGCAGGACUUUCAUCAGCACUCAGUUUUCAAGUCCACAAAACCUGCCACCGCCACAGCCAUCGUAAAUGACAACUCUUCCUUAUACCCUGGAGGUCCUCCUGUUCCUGCUCAAUCACCUAAACUUCUGAGGUUUGUUGACACAACAGAAAUGACAAGAGGACCACAAGAUUUGUCAGGCUACUGGGUUGUGUCCGGGACAAGGCCUUACAUAGAGAAGGGUAAAAUAUCACUUAAAGUAAUAUUCUCUUUUAACCGUGAUUUUACCGGAUGAAGAGACAGAGAGUUAUUGAAAACAUCAAACUCUACACAGGUGGAAGAAUGAAGAUGAAUUUUUUCUGCUCAAGUAGCUCAAUGAGAUGUGCAUGUGUACAUAAUAGUGUCCGAUUCUUUUCUGUUGUACAUUUUCUCUAUUCAUUAUAGGUGUUACUAUUUGAUGUUUUCAUUAUUAUUUAAGGAAACAAACUGAUUUGUAUAUCUUGACUUUGUUGAAUCAUCUGAUUUAGGAAAUGUACAUGGAUUGCUAUUGCUAUUCUUAUAUUUAUGCUCAAUUAGCUAUGCUAAAUCAUUCUUUGGUCUCCACUCAACGGAGAUAGUUUUAAAAAAUAUGAACAUAUGAAUACCUAUGAAU